GGGGAAUAUUGCACAAUGGGCGCAAGCCUGAUGCAGCCAUGCCGCGUGUAUGAAGAAGGCCUUCGGGUUGUAAAGUACUUUCAGCGGGGAGGAAGGGGUUAAGGUUAAUAACCUUAGCCAUUGACGUUACCCGCAGAAGAAGCACCGGCUAACUCCGUGCCAGCAGCCGCGGUAAUACGGAGGGUGCAAGCGUUAAUCGGAAUUACUGGGCGUAAAGCGCACGCAGGCGGUCUGUCAAGUCGGAUGUGAAAUCCCCGGGCUCAACCUGGGAACUCCAUCGGAAACGGGCAGGUUGGGGCUUGGUAGGGGGGGUAGAAUUCCAGGUGUAGCGGUGAAAUGCGUAGAGAUCUGGAGGAAUACCGGUGGCGAAGGCGGCCCCCUGGACGAAGACUGACGCUCAGGUGCGAAAGCGUGGGGAGCAAACA
rnacentral:rRNA from 1 species